GUGCUCGCUUCAGCAGCACAUAUACUAAAAUUGUGUAUACAGAAGAUUAGCAUGGCCCCUGUGCAAGGAAGACAUGCAAAUUCGUGAAGCGUUCCAUAUUUUU
ensembl:snRNA U6 U6 spliceosomal RNA